rnacentral:lncRNA from 1 species
AUAGGAUCUUUCUUGAUAAUAUAAAAGCCACCAUCAGAAGAAAUUCCUUCAGGAUCAUUAAGCUACUUCCUUUGUUCUGAAGUUUCUAAAGUAGUAUUAAGUUACAUUAAAUCACCUGAAAAAAAAAAUCUUAAAAGAGAACCACACACUACCAUGUAUAUCCAAAAUUAAGCUUUAAAAAUUUAAGACUGUUGGCAUAAUUUAGGAUUUUCCCUUAGAGCAAAGAAAAUCUGAACAUACAGCACCUCACACCAUUUCCUUUUUUGUAAAUUU